UAGGGAAUCUUCGGCAAUGGGGGCAACCCUGACCGAGCAACGCCGCGUGAGUGAAGAAGGUUUUCGGAUCGUAAAGCUCUGUUGUAAGUCAAGAACGGGUGUGAGAGUGGAAAGUUCACACUGUGACGGUAGCUUACCAGAAAGGGACGGCUAACUACGUGCCAGCAGCCGCGGUAAUACGUAGGUCCCCGAGCGUUGUCCGGAUUUAUUGGGCGUAAAGCGAGCGCAGGCGGUUUGAUAAGUCUGA
rnacentral:rRNA from 1 species